GACGAACGCUGGCGGCGUGCCUAACACAUGCAAGUCGAACGGGGUAUUUCUUCGGAGAUACUUAGUGGCGAACGGGUGAGUAACGCGUGAGAAACCUGCCUUUCAGUGGGGGACAACAGUUGGAAACGACUGCUAAUACCGCAUAACGUAUCGAGAGGGCAUCCUUUUGAUACCAAAGGAGCAAUCCGCUGAAAGAUGGGCUCACGUCUGAUUAGUUAGUUGGUGAGGUAACGGCUCACCAAGCCGACGAUCAGUAGCCGACCUGAGAGGGUGAUCGGCCACAUUGGGACUGAGACACGGCCCAAAACUCCUACGGGAGGCAGCAAGUGGGGGAAUAUUGCACAAUGGGGGAAACCCUGAUGCAGCAAACGCCGCGUGAAGGAAGAAGGUUUUUCGGAUCGUAAAACUUCUAUCAAUAGGGACGAACAAAUGACGGUACCUAAAAUAAGAAGCCCCGGCCUAACUAACGUG
rnacentral:rRNA from 1 species